rnacentral:rRNA from 1 species
UACGUAGGUGGCAAGCGUUGUUCGGAAUUAUUGGGCGUAAAGGGUGCGUAGGCGGUCGGGUAAGUCUGACGUGAAAUCUUCAAGCUUAACUUGGAAACUGCGUCGGAUACUAUUCGGCUGGAGGAAUGGAGGGGAGACUGGAAUACUUGGUGUAGCAGUGAAAUGCGUAGAUAUCAAGUGGAACACCAGUGGCGAAGGCGAGUCUCUGGACAUUUCCUGACGCUGAGGCACGAAAGCCAGGGGAGCAAACGGG